rnacentral:siRNA from 1 species
GACAAGGGGAAUCCGACUGUU